rnacentral:rRNA from 1 species
AUUGAACGCUAGCGGCAUGCCUAACACAUGCAAGUCGAACGAGUGGCGGACGGGUGAGUAAUAUAUGGGAAACUGCCCAGUAGCGGGGGAUAACUACUUGAAACAGUGGCUAAUACCGCAUACCAUCAGAUGUGCCCAGAUGGGAUUAGCUAGUUGGUGGGGUAACGGCGCACCAAGGCGACGAUCCCUAGCUGGUCUGAGAGGAGGACCAGCCACACUGGAACUGAGACACGGUCCAGACUCCUACGGGAGGCAGCAGUGGGGAAUAUUGGACAAUGGGGGAAAGCCUGAUGCAGCCAUCCCGCGUGUAUGAUGAAGGCCUUCGGGUUGUAAAGCACUUUUGGCGGGGAGGCGGUAUCUGCAGAAGAAGCACCGGCUAACUACGUGCCAGCCGCCGCGGUAAUAC